ACUAAACAAACAAAAUAAAUUAAUAAAUAGAAUGGAAUAGAAUGGGUUUACUGUCACUAUACAGUUGUACAAUGAGAUACGGAGCAUCUAUGUAAAAUGCCAAUUGUGUGAACUGCAAACUUUCUCGCUCUCAGUUUAGCUUCUAUACCUCCUUUCAGCAGAUACUUCUUCAGCUGUUUUUGGAAGACGAUUUCCACUACACAGCAUUCACACUGCAUUUUUGCAGGAAAUGUAACUUUUCUAGUUGCAAAUUAAAAAUUAAUUACAUUAAAUUAAUCUACAUGUGCUUUUCUCUUUAAUUACCUGCAAAUUUAAUUUUUAAUAUGCCAUUAGCAGUAUGUACUAGCCCCCCUCCCCCCAUGUGCCUGCUACCAGCAGCAUUCACAGCUGGAUUUAUUUCCGUUUUUUUGUGCCUGCAGUCUGUCAGGCUGUCUGAUCACAGAGGAAGGCUGUACUUAUAUGGCCUCAGCUCUGAGCUCCAACCCCUCCCAUCUGAGAGAGCUGGACCUGAGCUACAAUCAUCCAGGUCACUCAGGAAUGAGGUUGCUGUUGGCUGGACAGAAGGAUCCACGCUGGAGACUGGCUUCUCUCAGGGUGGAGCCUGCUGGAGACCGAUGGUUGAGACAUGGAGGUCUGAGGAAGUAUUCCUGUCAACUCACAAUCG